GCAGAGGUACUCAAGUGGUCCAAGAGGAGGCACUCGAAAUGCUUUAGGCCGGUCUCCGGUGCGCGGGUUCGAAUCCCGCCCUCUGCG
rnacentral:tRNA from 1 species